GAACUCUCAUGUGUCUUAUUGCAGUGAAUUCUCCACUCUCAUCUACAUGUAAUUAUUUUCUGACUCUGAUAAUCAUACAUUAGUUUUGCCUGUCAAGAGUUUCAUAUAAAUGACUUUGUUUUGCUUUUUAACACCGUAAUUCCUGCAGUGUACAUGAUUACAGCACACUGCAUACAUCAGUAGUUUUUUUUCUUUUUAUUGCAAGGUAAGUAUUUCAUUUUAUGUAUACAAAAUGAUAGUAUAUCUGUCUCCUUUUGAUGGGCAUUUGAGUUGUUUCUUGUUUUAGGUGAUUACAAAUAAGACUGCUGUGGAUAUUUUUGUACAAGUUUUUUUGGGAUAUAUGUUUUCAUUUUAUUUGGUCAUAGGAUAGAUGUAAUUUAACUUUGUAAGAGGUAGCCAAACAGUUCUGAAAAAUAGUUAUACCAUCUUAUACUCCCAGGCAAAAUAUUUUUAAACAGAAAAUAGUUACUUUCUAAAAAAUUGCUCUGAGAAUUACAUAAUUUUAAAUAUUCAUCAUGCUCUUUACUGUAAAUCUGUUCUCUAACAUCUUGUCAAAAUAUUCUAAGAGUAAGUUUUUGAAUAUCUUACUACGGCAGUAAGGAGAAAUUGCAAAUUGAUAAGUGCUACCGGAACAGUUUGUGAAAAGAUUUUUCAUUACUAAAUUAAGCAUUAUAUGCAAAUUAACUUAAUAAACUCGUAAGCAAGGUUGGGCAGGAGGUUUCUCUACUUCUUUCCUUAUGUGAGAAGUUACACAUCUAACAGACAGUGAUCUCAGUCUAUGUUUCAUUCAACUGUACCCAUCUUACAACUUCCUUCUUUUCUUUUUUCUUUUUUUUUCCAGCUUCAUCUGUUUGGAAUCAAAAGUGUGAAAGACCUGGAAAUUAAAUCAAAAGAGUGGCAGAAUAAUCCUCCUCACUGACAAAUGAGAAACAACAUUUCACUCUGUGGCCGAGGCUGGAGUAAAGUGGCACAAUCACCUUGCUGCAACCUUGACCUCCUAGGCUCAAGCAGUCCUUCCAACUCAACUUCCCAAGUAGCUGAGACUACAGGACAGAAUAUUCAAGAUGGCGCUGUGAGAACAACCCAGGAUUGGAGCUCUUGUUGAAUCUGCAAACGGUGAAUCGGAGCUGCAUUUCCAGACUGAUCUUUGUUGCCCACAGAACGGGGAAACUCCCAAGUAUAAAAAAGACAUGGGAUGCCAGGCAGUAGGUCUGCCUGGCGAAGCCGGCAGCCGGGGCGGCGGCGGCCGGCCCUACCCAGCAAUCCCCACAGGGCACGCUUGUCCGGGUGCCAUGUUGAACCGGCAACCUGAGACUUGAGAGGGCUGGACUUGAGACUGAACGAGACUUGGACAGUAGGCCAGCCCAGGAAAUUGCAGGGACAGAUCGUUUGGGAGACCCAGUGGGACGAACAAAACCGCAAUUUCAAACUAUCCCGAGCAGACGGUCCGAGACGCUCUGUUGGGGAGGGGCGUCCACCACUACCGAGGCAACCCGCCCCAACUGAGAUACACGCCCACUGCUGAUGCAGCCAGCCGUUGCCGAGGCAACCCAUCCCUACUGAGAUACAUGCCCACUGCUCGCUCAGCCUGCCGUUGCUGAGGCAACACAUUACAACAAAGAGACUCCACCGCAGGGCAUGGCGGAGACCACAGCAGAGCCUGCAGGAACAGGGCGAAUCACACAACAGCAGGGUGGAGCCUCGGCAGCCAAACAGUGGCUAGUCUGCCUUCUAGCUGGGCAGGACACCUCAUCAGACAUAGAAAAAUAAAGCCCGAACUCCUCCAACACAGAGCAUUUGAGAAAAAAAGGGUUUUUUUAAUGAGCUCUGUUGCAGCAGAAUCAAACAUAGCAGCCUAACAGCCCUGAAUGAACAACAGAGCUCACAGCUCAGCAAUUGAGCUCCAAAAAAGUACAGACUGUCUCCUCAAGCAGCUCCUGACCCCUCUAUAUCCAAAAGACUGACAUUUGGCAGGCAUCAUCCUGGGACAAAGAUAUCAGAAAAAGAAACAGGUAGCAUCCCUCACUGUGCCACAGCUGCUAGAGGUGCACCCCAGACAAGCAGGGCCUGGAGUGGACCUCAGCAGUCAUACAGCGAAGGGGAUAGGCUGGUAGAAGGAAAACCAACAGAAAUACUUCAUCAUCAACAAUCUCGGUGUCCACUCAGAGACCCAAUCGAAAAGUCAGCAACUACGCAGAUGAC
ensembl:lncRNA